UGGGGAAUAUUGGACAAUGGGCGAAAGCCUGAUCCAGCCAUGCCGCGUGUGUGAAGAAGGUCUUCGGAUUGUAAAGCACUUUAAGUUGGGAGGAAGGGCAGUUACCUAAUACGUGAUUGUUUUGACGUUACCGACAGAAUAAGCACCGGCUAACUCUGUGCCAGCAGCCGCGGUAAUACAGAGGGUGCAAGCGUUAAUCGGAAUUACUGGGCGUAAAGCGCGCGUAGGUGGUUAGUUAAGUUGGAUGUGAAAUCCCCGGGCUCAACCUGGGAACUGCAUUCAAAACUGACUGACUAGAGUAUGGUAGAGGGUGGUGGAAUUUCCUGUGUAGCGGUGAAAUGCGUAGAUAUAGGAAGGAACACCAGUGGCGAAGGCGACCACCUGGACUGAUACUGACACUGAGGUGCGAAAGCGUGGGGAGCAAGCAGGAUUAGAUACCCCCGUAGUCCCUGAGCGGGCUGGCAAGGCGCAU
rnacentral:rRNA from 1 species